GGCUCAGGACGAACGCUGGCGGCGCGCCUAACACAUGCAAGUCGAACGAAGCUAAGAUUGCGGAAGUUUCGGAUGGAAGUGAACUUAGCUUAGUGGCGAACGGGUGAGUAACACGUGAGUAACCUGCCCUUCAGUGGGGGACAACAGUUGGAAACGACUGCUAAUACCGCAUAAGACCACAGUGCCACAUGGCACAGUGAUCAAAGGAUUAAUUUUCGCUGAAGGAUGGACUCGCGUCUGAUUAGCUAGAUGGUGAGGUAACGGCCCACCAUGGCAACGAUCAGUAGCCGGACUGAGAGGUUGAUCGGCCACAUUGGGACUGAGACACGGCCCAGACUCCUACGGGAGGCAGCAGUGGGGGAUAUUGCACAAUGGAGGAAACUCUUGAUGCAGCGACGCCGCGUGAGGGAAGAAGGUUUUCGGAUUGUAAACCUCUGUCUUCGGGGACGAAACAAAUGACGGUACUCGAGGAGGAAGCCACGGCUAACUACGUGCCAGCAGCGGC
rnacentral:rRNA from 1 species